GGACUACUGGGGUAUCUAAUCCCGUUCGCUACCCUAGCUUUCGUGCCUCAGCGUCAGAUAAGACCCAGUACGCCGCUUUCGCCACCGGUGUUCCUUAGGAUAUCAACGCAUUUCACCGCUCCACCCUAAGUUCCGCGUACCUCUAUCUUCCUCAAGCACAGUAGUUUCGGGCGCAAUUCCUCAGUUGAGCUGGGGGAUUUCACACCCGACUUUCUGCACCGCCUACGCACCCUUUAAGCCCAGUAAUUCCGAAUAACGUUAGCAAGGUUCGUCUUACCGCGGCUGCUGGCAC
rnacentral:rRNA from 3 species